rnacentral:rRNA from 1 species
AUGGCGAGAUAUUGGUGGGAUGGGAUCCUCACCAACAAUGCGCAGCCAAGGAAAGCCUUGGCCUCCUUACUCCAUCUUGUAGGCUGGGAGAUUUGGAAGGAAUGGAAUGCACGUGUAUUUAGGGAAAAGGCGGUGCCUGUAUUGGUGAUCGUGCAUGCUAUUAAAGAGGAGACAUCUAUGUGGGCUCUGGUGGGCGCUAGACAUUUGUGUAAUUUGAUGCCGCGAAAGUAG